rnacentral:rRNA from 1 species
ACGCUGGCGGCAUGCCUAACACAUGCAAGUCGAACGGUAACAGGUCUUCGGGAUGCUGACGAGUGGCGCACGGGUGAGUAACGCGUGGAUAUCUGCCUAUGAGUGGGGGACAACUUUCGGAAACGAAAGCUAAUACCGCAUAAUCUCUACGGAGCAAAGCAGGGGACCUUUCGGGGCCUUGUGCUUAUAGAUGAGUCCGCGUCAGAUUAGCUAGUUGGURGGGUAARAGCCUACCAAGGCGAUGAUCUGUAGCUGGUUUGAGAGGAUGAUCAGUCACACUGGAACUGAGACACGGUCCAGACUCCUACGGGAGGCAGCAGUGGGGAAUUUUGCACAAUGGGCGCAAGCCUGAUGCAGCGAUGCCGCGUGUGGGAAGAAGGCCUUUGGGUUGUAAACCACUUUCAAUUGGGAAGAAGGGAUGAGAAUUAAUAAUUCUCUGACUUGACGGUACCUUUAGAAGAAGCACCGGCUAAUUUCGUGCCAGCAGCCGCGGUAAUACGAAAGGUGCAAGCGUUGUUCGGAUUUACUGGGCGUAAAGAGAUCGUAGGUGGUUUGUUAAAGUUGGAUGUGAAAAUCCCGGGGCUCAACCUCGGAACUGCAUCYAAAACUGGCGGACUUGAGUUCGGGAGGGGUAAGCGGAAUUCCGUGUGUAGCAGUGAAAUGCGUAGAUAUACGGAGGAACACCUGAGGCGAAGGCGGCUUACUGGACCGAUACUGACACUGAGGAUCGAAAGCGUGGGUAGCAAACAGGAUUAGAUACCCUGGUAGUCCACGCCCUAAACGAUGUCAACUAGCCGUUGCGGGUAUCGACCCCUGCAGUGGCGCAGCUAACGCGAUAAGUUGACCGCCUGGGGAGUACGGUCGCAGAUAGCCG